rnacentral:rRNA from 1 species
GACGAACGCUGGCGGCGUGCUUAACACAUGCAAGUCGAACGGAAAGGCCCUGCUUUUGUGGGGUGCUCGAGUGGCGAACGGGUGAGUAACACGUGAGUAACCUGCCCUUGACUUUGGGAUAACUUCAGGAAACUGGGGCUAAUACCGGAUAGGAGCUCCUGCUGCAUGGUGGGGGUUGGAAAGUUUCGGCGGUUGGGGAUGGACUCGCGGCUUAUGAGCUUGUUGGUGGGGUAGUGGCUUACCAAGGCUUUGACGGGUAGCCGGCCUGAGAGGGUGACCGGCCACAUUGGGACUGAGAUACGGCCCAGACUCCUACGGGAGGCAGCAGUGGGGAAUAUUGCACAAUGGGGGGAAGCCUGAUGCAGAAACGCCGCGUGCGGGAUGACGGCCUUCGGGUUGUAAACCGCUUUCGCCUGUGACGAAGCGUGAGUGACGGUAAUGGGUAAAGAAGCACCGGCUAACUACGUG